rnacentral:rRNA from 1 species
UGGACGGGAUAAGUGCUGAAAGCAUCUAAGCAUGAAGCCCCCCUCAAGAUGAGAUUUCCCAACUUCGGUUAUAAGAUUCCUCAAAGAUGAUGAGGUUAAUAGGUUCGAGGUGGAAGCAUGGUGACAUGUGGAGCUGACGAAUACUAAUCGAUCGAAGACUUAAUCAA